AAAGCGCUCCAAAUGGCCUUUCAAACAAGAAAACCCUUCAAGGAAAAAUGGGCACACAUCCCCUUCCAGGCACCUUGCCAAAAUCUUCCAAGCACCCUACCUGGCAUCCUAGCUUAAGUUUCUUCAAGAAGCUGGGGAGAGCCGCGGAGGCGCCUGGUUGAGGCGCAAGCGAGGCGGCCGGGCCGAGCGAAGAGCCACCCUGACCUGGUGAAAAUUAGAAAUACUGCAAUGCAAAGCGUACUGCAGCACCUCUUGAAAGGGAAUUGCCAGAAUUUAAUUGCAUCCUCCUCUUCUUAAACAAGUUUAAAAUAGGCUUUCAUACCUAGAGGCGAUUUUUUGGUUAUUGAGGAAGUGGAUUUGCCUAGAAAAAGCCUUUGUGCUUUUAGUCAUCAGGCCCUCGUGAUUGCAGGGACCACUUGGUGGAUGUGCCUCCUGGAGUGGUGGUCCUCAUGGACAAAUCCCCCAGCCCAGAAUGGUCCACCGUGCUUUCCCCAUGCCCUUGGCUCCCAGUGGCACUGGCGCACCAAGGCGGGGUCCCGGGGCUCUGCAGAGGGGGCUCUGGCCCCAGCACGUCCUUCCCCAGAAGGCAAGCUGGUGAUUGCAGGGAACAGAAACAGCUGUCCAAAACUGCCAGCUCUGCCAGGCUGAUGGCAAAGGAAUUCCUUCAAAUAAGGGAAAUUGAUAUGUUGAUAUGCUGCAUUUUUAAAAUGGCCUGUGAUGUUACAUGAUAAGCUGUUUUAGGGCUUGUAGGUCAUUAGCUCAGUGCAUCUGAAAAAAAUAAUAUCUGAAGACAGACUUCUAAAGGAUUCACUUUAAAUAGCUUAUUCUGUGAGAAUGAAAAAACAUCAAACCAAAACUAUCGCUGAACACUGAUUCCUGUUUCUUUCACACUGCAGAAGUGUCAGUGUGCAAGAUGGAAAAUCAAGCCCACUGGGACAGGACAUAUUUUGAAUCUGUGUUUUUUUGCAAGAUGGAAGAAAACAAAGCAGCUGCCCACAAGGUUUCAUCUUGCUCUGAGUCCCAUGGCAACUCCACCAGUGAAGAGGGGAGAUGAAUUUUGCCCAUUGCUUAGCAGUACCUUGCAAAGUAUACAUGGAGGUAUCAGUCAUCUUCUUGGUCUAAAUACUAUUGAAAUUUAGCCACCUUUUGGAUGGCCCACCUUAUAUAUUUUUUUACUUUCUUUCUUCUUUUUCCUUCAAAAUUUAAAAGGAACUUUGAUUUUUUAUUGUUUACAUUCAAUAUUUAUCUCCAUUAAGAUAGUAUUGAUAUAAUUUUGCAUGCAUGUUGUUCUAAAGUCACUGAAACCAGUGGUAAAGAGUACUGAAGAACAUUGUUUGCCAUGAAUCUGAAAAUUUAUAAACAUUAAUAUAUUUGUUUAAUAUAAGAAAAUGAAUAGGCAGGACAGAUUUUGUUGCACAGUUCUGAAAUUUGGCUCUUUGUCUAAUGCCAAUGUAAAAAAUAAGUGGGUUUUAAGCUAUGCAAAGUUUAAACUAUCCAGCAUCUUUGUCACUUAUUUCACGUCAAGUGGACAUAGAAUGUAGCGAUUGUGAUAAGGAGGCUUUUCACAUCCAUUUCUACCAGUAGUAACCCAAGACACAGAGGGGGGUAAAGAACAAGGGUCAUAUUUAUAAUAUGGAAUGCUACAAAAUGUAUCUCUUCAAGUUUUCAGCUGAACUGAGAUAUUUAUCUUAACAAGAUCUAAUUAGACCUAAUUUCCAUAGCAUAUCAAUUAUUUUCCUCAUUAGAGUAGCUAAUGCCAUGUUCAGAUAUCAUGGCAAUCAAGCUUGCGAUUUCUGGAAAAACUGGUUAGAAGGCUUAGUAUUAAGUGUGUUUCCAACUGUGAAAUUUAUCCUUCUGAGCAAUGCCUCCCAGUUUACUCACUUUGUUCCAGGAUUCUCUGCAGCAUAUGGCCACUGGAACCCAUUAAAUAACACAAAGUAAGACAGGCAGCGAUGAGUCAAAAAUAGCUGCACUAGUGAAUCGCCUUUCAAAAUUCUGUCUCUAACAAGAAAAAUAAUGAAGAAUAAGACAUGCAAUUAGAAGAAAUUAAGGUCAAUUUUCAAGCCGGGUUGCCUACAUGGUGGUUUCAAAAUCCACGUUAGGAACCUCAAAUAAAAGCAGUCUGAUUGAACACCUGCAGCUCUUGGCAAUGCACUCGUGUAUAUAAGGCAGCCAGGCAAUUCUUGCACUCAGAGUGUCUACCUCUUGAUUUUAUUUUCCCCAGUUCCUAAACAUUCUAAAACUGGGUUCUAAUCACUAGGUUUAACAUGUUCCUUUUUCCUCCUAAGGAAGAUACCCACUGCUUCCAGUGCAGGGCCAUAUGUGUGCCAUAUACUUGUUGGACAAGUCCCAUUCACUCAGCGUGAGAGUGAAGGCACUUUUUUCAUUACAGGAGCUUGUUGCAUUGUAUUUGGCCAAAUGCGUUGUCACAAUACACUUGGAUUCCUUGCAUCCAGCCUGAGUAAUCUAGAAGUUUGGUGCCCGCUCUAAGGUUUUUUUCUAGAGGUUUUGUUACAGAGGUCAGUAUGUCUGCAAGGAGAUUUCUCUUCUAGAGUGGCUGCCUGAGGUAUUGAGAUUAUUUGUUCUUUGGAGGGACCCAGAUCCCACAGCUGAAGCACCUCCUUCCAAGGGAGCUACAACAGUCAAGCUGAAUCUCACCUCAGUGUUUCCAUGGCUGGUGUCUCCUAUCCCAGAUGAGACACACAGCAUUUUGCUAAUAUGAAAGGCAAAGGUAGACAUCUCUGCUGCUAUAAGAAUAUUACACUAGCAGUGGAUCUGAGCUCAAUGUAUGGGUGUACUGACAUGCUUCAUGGCUGAGGGCAGCUUCCAUUUGCAGCUACACCUUAACCAAACAUUUAUUUAUUUCCUCUCAUUUAAAAUAUGUCUAGUGCUCUCAAUGGGUAUGCUUUGAAUGAGAUAUAUGCAAGUUUCUGAAUAAAGGGAAUUCUAUACUUGAUGCAUUUUCAUACAAUCACAGAAUGGUUUUGAAGCUUUGUUAUUAUACUUAUUAUUUGGUUACGUUUGUAUCCAGCUCCCUUCAUUCGCAAAUAAAAAGAUGCUUCAUCUGGCUGUCCAAAUAAUAUAUUCAAACAAAGUAUACCAGAAAAUAAACAACUGUGCUCUUCUGACCUGUGUUAUGAACAAUAAAAAGUUACCUAAAGGUCCAGA